rnacentral:rRNA from 1 species
UACGAGAGGCCCAAACGUUAUUCGGAAUUACUGGGCUUAAAGAGUUCGUAGGCGGCAUGAAAAGCAGGGUGUGAAAGCCCUCGGCUCAACCGAGGAAUUGCGCUCUGAACUGUCGUGCUUGAGGAACCUAGAGGUGAGCAGAACAGAUGGUGGAGCGGUGAAAUGCGUAGAUAUCGUCUGGAACGCCGAAGGUGAAAACAGCUCGCUGGGGCUGCGCUGACGCUGAGACACGAAAGCCAGGGGAGCGAACGGG